rnacentral:snRNA from 1 species
UUACUUAUUUGCAAGAGGAGAUGCCAUGAUUACAAAGGCGAUUUUCCAGGGAGAAGCUUAUCCAUUCAUUGUAGUCCAGAUGUGCUAACCCCUGUGUUUUCCGCAAGUAUGGGAAACUCAACUGCAUAAUUUGUAGUAGUGGGGGACUAUAUUUGUGCUUUCCCCAG